ACCCUCCAGCGGGAGAGGCUGGGAGCACAGCAUGCACUACUGAAGGUGGGAGCAGGUGACAUGUGGCCUCAAAAAUAGUACAGCAAGGGCAGCCACUGGCAGGGUGGGAUACAUUUACAUGGUGGGUGCCUGCCUGCAGGCCAUAUUUUGCCCACCCUGUGUCAUUGCCUCAAAUGCUGGGGCAGCAAGUACACAUAAUUAAAACUGUUUACUUUGAAAUUCAU